AACGCACGAGACCUGCGGACCUGCGGAAGGAUCAUUACCGAAGCAUAGAGAGGUUGUAGCUGCCUUUACUCAAGGAUGUGCACGCCUUUCAAUCUUCAUCUCAACCACCUGUGAACCUUUAGUAAACUGUGAUUGGCUUUCACUGAAAAUGUGGAUGGAGAGCUUGCCUAACUGCUUGCUUUCAAUCAAUUGCAGUCUACUCAUUUAUACACACUUUAUUUAAACCUUUGAAUGUAUUAU
rnacentral:misc_RNA from 1 species